UUCCCGUUAAUGUGUCACACGCACUUUAUAAGCAAUUGUUGUUGCCGGAGAUGGGCGCGGAAAAUGGGGGCGGCGUUGGCGUCUGGAAAAGUUGACGACGCUGUCGACGCCCAUGGCGCAAUUAUUAUGAUUAUUAGGUACAGCUGCACUUGCCCAGCGGCUGCCACUUAUAAGCAAAAAUUGUAAUUUACCUCAGCGCUGUAGCACACUGAGAGAAAAUCGUUUUAAAUCACAGUCUGAACAGUGUAGCCUUAGCAAAAGAUUAUUUCUCAAAGAGCCAAGAAAUCAAAAUUUUAAAACGAGAACAUCCCAAAAGCAGCGACUGAUAUAAUUUCCAUGUCUUAUCGCUUCAAACUUGACAGCAAUAGAAACAUUUUCUGUAAGUGCACUGAAAACUGUUCGCCAGCUUUGCUGCUGUUGUCCAUUAGGGUGGACCUGAACUUUGGUCCGCUUUUGACCGUUCGCUCUGGCUGCUGUGCAUCGCCUUGGGGGUCACGCGUUAAUAAUCGCGCUGAAUGACUUCAUAAUGAAAAUAUUAAAGGUGUUUGUUGCCGCUCUUGUUGUUGUUGCUGCCAGCCGCCGGCCGGGAUCAGGAUAAGUAUAUAUACAUACACAAGGAACGGAACACCCGCAGGACUCGCUCACACAAAAGGCGCAAAGUUUAUGUUUAUGUCAUGCUCUCGAAUGGCAGCAGCGCAGAGUGCACCAUGAGCGGAGGCUGCCUCAAGUGGCAGGUUGAAAUGAGCGAAGAAAAUGUUGGAACUCAGUGCUGGGCACUCAAGAAGAUAAUAUGUAUAUUAAAUGCUUAUUUAAUCAGAAUUGUUGGUACAACGCAAACAAUAUUUUCCAACCUUUA